CCGACAAUUUUUUUAUAGGAUCAAAAAUAUAAUAUAAAAACAAAUAUAUGCGGGAUCAUGGGAGGGGUAGGGGGCGAUUGCCUACAUCGCUUGUCCCCUUCAAAUAAUAUCGCUCGGUUCGCUAUAUUAUUACGGCCGUACUACAACAGUAUCGUCGUACCAACCGAGUUUGGAACUCGCGUAAUUAGGUUUUGUUUUGUUAUUUUUUUUUAUUUUCCGAUUUUCUUUGUUUUAAUCCGAAUCGUUCGUUUGUGCGCGCGCGUUACAAUAAAAAAACAAUCUUCCGGGCCGAACUUAUCGAAAACAUUAUACGAAACGCCGGCGGCGCGGCGGCCCGGUAGUAUUUUACUUUUUUUUUUUUUUUUUUUUUUUUCAAUUUGGCGGAUACUCGAAUUUAUAUACCUACGCGAUGACUGCGCGGGUUCCAUAUUUUCCGAUAGCCUCGGGGGCAUAGG